UUUCUAAAUCCAGGGACUGUCCCUGGAAAACUGGGACGUCUGGUAACCUUACUAUACCUGCACCAUGUGGUGGUGGGUUGCCACAUGACUGAAUAUGCUUUACAAAUGUUUUCCUUGCAUGUCUUACAGGCAUGAAUGAGGUUCCAAUCUAUGAGACGUCAGGCUGGAAUGUAGCCUACUGCUCAAAGUUAAGAGUCACCAUCGUUGCUUCACCUCUAUCCCACCCCAUCUUUGCAUCUGGCCCAGCCCACCACAGGUAUACGGCCCCCAGCAAAUUGCCUGUGAGUGCAUGGGGCUUUGGGCUAAAAAGAAAUGUACCCCACCCCUGCCCUAAACCAGCAGUUUUCUAAUUGCAGUCCUACAACCUGAUCUUAAAUUCAUUACACCGAAGUAAGAUGCACUGCAUUGAUGGUGGUGAUAAUGAAGCACUGCAUACAUACAGUCCUAAAUAACGUCUAACUUUGUUUUAAGCUUUGAAAACACGGACCCACUGAGUUCCCUUUUCAUAGAGUCAUUUAUUUAUUUUUUCUUAGCUACAAACACUUCAAACCAGCAUCUUCCAACUUCUUUGCUGGAGAUGUGAUAUUAAAAUGCUGAUGAGCCAGCUGCAGAUCCCUUUUCUCCUAAAAAUGCAAACUUUCCUUUUGGAGUCUUAAAAAAAAAUAUUCAAAUUGCAAGAGGGCCAGCCAGCUGUUGCUCAGCAUGACCUCCUUUAUUAGUCAAAGCGCUUCGUCCCACUUAAUGUGUUCAGCAUGGCAGACUGUCUUAUGUGGCAACUUUGACAGGGGGAUCAUUACGCAACAAUCUGCUUGCCUAACAAAAAAACUGUGAGUAAACUGACAUUAAAAUGAUUUGCUAAAGUCCAGAUUCACAAAGGGGCAGUCAACCCUCGCCAUUUAUUGUGAUAUUUGGCGUCACUCUGAAAACCUCAGUUCCCGGAGUCAUCAUGACUAACCCAAUUUCAUUUAAAAGAAAAAAAGAAAAGGGCUUCUGAGCCAUUAUGGUUGUAAAGAAAGUAGGAAAAAUACAACUGAAGGGUAACAAGCCACAAAACAAAUAAAACAAAUCUUACAUUUUACUAUCUUAAUGAGGAACUCAUUUUUAUACCAGUCCUUGCUGUUUGCUUACUUAAUACUGGCGACGCAAGGCGGCCAGGAUUCAGAGAAAGGUCAUGCUCGUUCACAGGAGAACCCUCCACUCUGCAGAAAAGGGAAAAACUGCUUUUAAAACUGAACCAUGCCUUCUCUUCCAUGGUAGCCAGAGCUCUGCUUGCUCUGAGAGAAAAACAGCCCAUGUGCACACAUGUAACUCGUCUGGAUCCGAUACCAGACCAAUGAAGAGUUUCUGGUUAACCAGUAGGAUUGCAUUUCAAAUACGCACAAAAGUAAGUUGGAGAAUUUGCAGAUUUUCAGUUCUACAACGUACUACACAAUAGUUUUCCCAGCCCACUUACAUGUCCAUUUAAGCCUGCUUGAUCUCUUCAAACCACACAACACCUUUAUGGAUCAUCCACAAUUUCCCUUGACCUGUAUUUUUAUCAUAUUGUGUACCAAUUAAUUCUCCCUUUUCUCAUUGUUCUCAUUGUUCCACAGCUGCACCUUGCAAAAAUCUGAUCUUGCCCAUGGAAUUGAAGCUUGGGAAGCAAAAUACCCAUUUGGAUUUUCUACGCAUCUGAUAAAUUCCCAUUCAGCAGGUAAGAUUGGAACAACGAGAGAAAAACUUAGAUCCGGGAGAAUUAAUCAUUACAUGCUACAAUCAAGUUACAGGUCAGGUGAAAGUGUGGACAAGCCCUUCGUGAGCAUCCAAUGAACUACAAAGCGGAAGAGGAGCAUUGCAUGGGUCUGUGAACUUGUUCUGCCUCAGUGCAUUGGGAAUGCCAAAUUGUAGUUUCCUCUUUGAGAUUAUUAUAAAUACUUUCAAAGUACAGUGUGGGAGUGUGGCUGACAUGCAAAAACUUCUGUCAACAGAGUGAAGGAAGAAACCCAUACAGACAAAGGGCCAGGAUCAGCCUUCUGGGAAUGGGAGAAAUCUGUGAACACAGAGUUCACUUCUAGUUUUACAGCACUCUAAGAAAUAGGUAGUCAGAGAGAUGCUAAGAGAGUAUACUUCACACACACACACACACACACACACACACACACCAAUCAUUACAAAACCAAAAUGGCACCACCCAGGAAAACAAGCGAUGUGACAUAAUGUUCAUAGAACUUCAAGGUUUACAGAAAUAGAAAAAAGAAAUAUUGAGAAAACAAUUCCUAUGGGGAUAAAAUUGCUAAUUGGGUGCUAAUUUGCUACUAAAACAGGUUCAAGAUCCUUGGGAUCCUAGGGUCACAAAGCCCUAAACAACUGGGGCACAUAAGGGCUGCUGGAUUCCUUAUUCUCCACAUCAGUCCCUGGUGAGGCACUUUUAGUGCUCCCCUGAGGCUUAGUCGGGGUCCAUGUCUUUAAUGUGGCAGGUCCUGCCCUGUGGAACUCCCUGCCAAUAGAUGUCCAGCAGGAGUCAUCCUUGCUUUCUUUUAGACUUAUUUUUAAAAACAUACUGUUCAGACAGAAAUUUUGAUUUUGACAUUUUUAACAACAUGUUACUGAAGUUUUUUUAACUAGUCACUCUUGCAUUAUGUUUUUAUGUUGUGUGCUGCCUUGCUAUAUUUCCUAUGAAA